AUUUGCACUCCCGGUUGCUUCCCAUCUGAUGGGUACUCCUCUGGCAAGGCAGUCAGACGCGUAUGGUCCCAGCCCCUCACCAAACGCUCUCUCAGUGCCGUUAUCAUUGCUCCUUCGGGUAGAGGCCUACCAGUCAACACGCUCCUUUACCCCCAUGACUUCUUGCGGUAUUCCGCUCCAACCGCUCGACCUCUGCCAGCGCAAAAGGGCCCCACGCCUGGCAACCAUAGAACAGAAUUGCUCAGACUUGGGUUGCAAAGCACCGCAUUCACACGUCGGGGGCAAACAGCUUCACGUGCUCAUGACACUAGGCCUACACGCUUAUCAAAUAAACCCACGUGCUCAUGACGCUAGACCACACGCUUAUGAACACUAGGCCUACACACUCAUCUCAUAAGCCCACGUGCUUUGUCAGGUAAGCCUACACACUGGCAGAGGUUAAGGCCUGACUUCUGCUCCCAGUCGACCCAGUCGACCCGGGUUCAAAUCCGCCUGCCGGCUCCUCGGGUGUGUGAGGAGUGAUGAAAUGGGAGGUGGCCCCCCAUCUUAUGGACGGUGUAGGACGUGAUAAUAUCAACUUGCGAGCUGACCAGGAACUAAGUUGAUGCGCCGUUGAUCCGCUAGAUUUGGUUGGAUGCUGGUGGUGAGUUGCCGAACCCAACGAAUACAUUCUGAAGUCGGAUGGGGUGACGGAUUAGGGUGCCCCUCUAGCAGGGGAGAGCAGGGACUGCCCCGGGAAAGGGGGCCGCUGGCGAAGUUAACCACCCUGUAACAACAUACACACUUCCUGAUAAAGCCUCCAACUUUAUGAAUGCUAUCCACCAUGCUUGCCGAUAAGCCUCCACACCCUACCGAAUAAGGCCUUUCCACUAUUUUUCACACCUCCGUGAAGCUGAUGGCAUGAAAUGACCUUCUUGCUAGGGUAGACUUUGACAUUCGUUUCACAAGACCCUCGACAACGUGGUAGAUGGUCUCCCUAUUUCCCUGUUAAUAAUGCGAAGACCUGCUAAUAUGGCCUCGACGCCGCUG
rnacentral:lncRNA from 1 species